rnacentral:rRNA from 1 species
GACGAACGCUGGCGGCGUGCCUAAUACAUGCAAGUUGAGCGCUGAAGGUUGGUACUUGUACCAACUGGAUGAGCAGCGAACGGGUGAGUAACGCGUGGGGAAUCUGCCUUUGAGCGGGGGACAACAUUUGGAAACGAAUGCUAAUACCGCAUAAAAACUUUAAACACAAGUUUUAAGUUUGAAAGAUGCAAUUGCAUCACUCAAAGAUGAUCCCGCGUUGUAUUAGCUAGUUGGUGAGGUAAAGGCUCACCAAGGCGAUGAUACAUAGCCGACCUGAGAGGGUGGUCGGCCACAUUGGGACUGGGACACGGCCCAAGCUCCUACGGGGGGCAGCAGUAGGGAAUCUUCGGCAAUGGACGGAAGUCUGACCGAGCAACGCCGCGGGGGUGAAGAAGGUUUUCGGAUCGUAAAACUCUGUUUGUAGGGAAGAACGUUGGUGAGAGUGGAAAGCUCAUCAAGUGACGGUAACUACCCAGAAAGGGACGGCUAACUACGUG